GAUGAACGCUGGCGGCGUGCCUAAUACAUGCGAGUCGAGCGAACGGACGAGAAGCUUGCUUCUCUGAUGUUAGCGGCGGACGGGUGAGUAACACGUGGAUAACCUACCUAUAAGACUGGGAUAACUUCGGGAAACCGGAGCUAAUACCGGAUAAUAUUUUGAACCGCAUGGUUCAAAAGUGAAAGACGGUCUUGCUGUCACUUAUAGAUGGAUCCGCGCUGCAUUAGCUAGUUGGUAAGGUAACGGCUUACCAAGGCAACGAUGCAUAGCCGACCUGAGAGGGUGAUCGGCCACACUGGAACUGAGACACGGUCCAGACUCCUACGGGAGGCAGCAGUAGGGAAUCUUCCGCAAUGGGCGAAAGCCUGACGGAGCAAUGCCGCGUGAGUGAUGAAGGUCUUCGGAUCGUAAAACUCUGUUAUUAGGGAAGAACAUAUGUGUAAGUAACUGUGCACAUCUUGACGGUACCUAAUCAGAAAGCCACGGCUAACUACGUG
rnacentral:rRNA from 1 species